GACGGGCAGAGAAGGAAAACGCUUCAGGAACAGCUAACACUUCUUCACACUCCUGCCUACUAGGCUGAACUCUAUCCUUUACUGAGCCUCGUAGAAAUAUUCACACCCCGUCACAUCAAACCACAAACUGUGUGUUUGUGCGCUCUCAGUCCAGACCCGCUUGUCCUCUUCAUCCCUCUAAUGCCAUAUGGCGGCAGCCAUCACUGGGAUGUUUCUGUGGACUUCAGGAGGCCCAGUCUGUGACGGAGGAGAGUUUCUUCCUCCGCUUCCUGUGGACGAUGUGAUGAAUCCAGCUGGUUGUUCAUCAGUUGUGUCUCAAAGUUUCUAGCCCAGCUGAGAGCAUCUUCUGCUACAGAGGAUAAUAACUUCCUGUCCAGGAAACCAACAGCUUUCAGAGGGAAGCUGAUUUCCAGCAGAUUAUGAAGGAAAAAGGAUCAA